rnacentral:lncRNA from 1 species
ACAUUAAAGGAGAUAAUUGUUGACUUAAUCAACUUACACAUUUGGGUAAUUAACAAUUAUCAUUUGGGUUAUAAGCCCAUUUCCCAAAUCUCAAAAACCCAAACCCGGUCCGGCUCGACACGAUACAACACGGCUCCGCACACAUGCCUGGUUUAGAUUUCUCCUUUAACUUCCGAAGUGCGACAUUUGAUCCUUUAGUCAAAUUUCAAGCU